rnacentral:tRNA from 1 species
AAAGUUAUAGUCAAAAAUGACACCUAAGUUGCAUUUAGGAAGUGCUUAUCUUAAGCUAACUUUA